AUGAAUGCCAAUGUGAUUAUAAGAUACAGCAUAAAAACAAACACAUAAACGCAUGUUAUCUGUAUGCCUAUAGCCAAAUAACAAUCUGUUGAACGAAACUACAAGCUGCGCGUUAGCAGUUAACUUACCCGGUACAUUUAAAACCGGUGCGACUUCUCCCCAGCUCUUUUCCUUAUCUGUGCGGUUGUGGUAUGUUUUGGAGGAUACAUUAUAUAGACAAUCAUGCUGUUGCCACAAGUUGUUCUUCCAUCUCCGCUGUCCAACGUACCCUUGCAGGAGCUUUCGCGGUCGACAUUUUUAAAGGUCUGUCAGUCACCUUGCAGAUGUGCCUCUCAUUGGCUGUUGCGAAAGUACCAACGUCAUCACCCCGAUUUAAAAUCCUAAAUAUCAAACAUGUUUGAUAUGAUCGGGGCGGCCCCGAUUUCUCUCGGAGCAGAUCGGGAGGUGUAAGAUUCGAUCUGUGAACGCCUCACAUUACGUGAUAAUCUGGGCCGAAUCUCGGACCCGAUCGAGGUUCUGGACCCGAUUUUUUCAAAGAUUCUCGGGAGGGGAAAUCGGGGUAAAUUCUGGCCGAGAAUCCUGUAAUCUGAGCCAGGCUUUAAAUAGCAAAAAUCUCCACCUGUUGAAAAUAGUAUUUUACAGUCCACAUCGUGAAAUACUUUUUCAUUUUCAUGUAUUUUCAGGCGGUUUUAACAGGACGUUCUUUUAUGUCGUGCCGUUUGUAAACAGUAUUUUGACUAAUUUCCGUCUUCGACCCACUACAAAGUGCGCAUGUGCGGCCGAGAGUGCAUGUGUCUGAGUGCGCAUGCGCGGCUGAGAGUGCAUCUGGCCCGAGAGUGCAUCUGGUCUGCAGACAGACCCUUCUCUCAGGUACAAGGGCGCCGAUUUGGGUAGGGACAAUCAUUUCGACCGAACAAUUGAUCUACACAUAUAUAUAUAACCUCUGAUAUCCGUCUGUGUCUUGUGUCUUUUACUUAUUUUAUGCAACAUUUAUUCAUCCAGGAAUCAUUUAAUUGAAAUUAAACAUAUUUUACAAACGCGUGUUCUGUAAUAGCGCAUAUUGUGGUACACAAAUGGUUAAGUGUCAUUGUCUGCGAUGAGAAUGACGUAGCUCACGUCGCUAAUAGGAUUGGCUUCGCCUUUCUUGAGUCCCGCCUCUCUAACCGAAGUCGCGUUAUGAUUGGCGUUGCCUUCUCUCACUAACGUAAGGCUGCAGCUGAUUCGGUUGUAUGAACUAUGCGCCAAAGAUUUUUUUUAUUAUUAAAGCGCCAAAGCUAAGCCGUGUCAAGACGCGAUGAGCAUGAUUAUGCAGGUUACCCGUUAUCAGAGCCAACUGAGGUCCGAACUCUUGUGCUUCAAGGACUAUCAUGUUUUGAGAUGACUCCCCUGGACAUGUUUGAUGUCAGAUGAUCGCAGCUCAAUCCUUGACGUGCCAGUGGGGAUUGUAAUAGUUGAAGAUGGGACAACUCUUCACCCCCUCAACUCUCUGCAUUUGUCUCCAUCUUCAAUUGGAAUGGUAACUGAGGGAAAAAUGGUGAUGGACAAUGUACAUGACCUUCCAAAAGCAAUGUGCCUUCUGUUCGGACUUACUUACACCCUACACCUGAAUUACCCAAAAUCGCUGAAACACACAUUUGAAUUUAUUCAGCGUAUUCUACUUUCCAUGGGGCAGAAAGAUGUGCCGUCUAAACUACAGUCCUUGGCAAAUCAGCUGUUUGGUUAGAAUAGAGAAUCUUGCACACUGAAUAACUGCUACAGUUACAGUACGAAUUCUUAUAUUUUAUACAGAUUUAUAUUUUAAAAUGUGACUUGAAAAUACAAGCUUUUGCGAAGUUAUGGUUAUGAACAUUGCUUCUGUUAUAUUAAUGUUGAUGGCAGAUAUGUCUGUGGUUAUACAUUGUUUCAGAUGACAUGUCUUUUGUAAAUGUGAAAGAAAAUACAAGCAUACUGUUAUGAAUUUUGUUUUAGUUAUAUUAUCCAACACAUUUAAUAUCAUAUCUUGAUUUUAAUUAGAGCAUGUGCUCCAUACAGAUUCAGGUUUUGGGGAUUGUAAAAACAUAUCUGAAAACGAGUUUGUGAGUUGACUGUUUUUAAUCUUUGUUUCUGUUAGUGACAAACAUGUCUAUUGUUGUUUCUUACAGUCUGCUUUUUGUCAAAUGGCCAAUAUUAUGUAUAUUAUUGAUGUGAAAUCGACUUGUUUUAAUGGUUUAUAAUUUAAUAAAAGUAAACACAAAAAAAGGUAAAUUUUGAGUUCAGUCUAUUUGCUCUUUAUGAUAUCUGUA